rnacentral:rRNA from 1 species
UACCAGCACCCCGAGUGGUCGGGACGAUUAUUGGGCCUAAAGCAUCCGUAGCCGGUUUUACAAGUCCCCCGUUAAAUCCAGCUGCUUAACAGAUGGGCUGCGGAGGAUACUAUAAGACUAGGAGGCAGGAGAGGCAAGCGGUACUCAGUGGGUAGGGGUAAAAUCCGUUAAUCCAUUGAAGACCACCAGUGGCGAAGGCGGCUUGCCAGAAUGCGCUCGACGGUGAGGGAUGAAAGCUGGGGGAGCAAACCGG